UAGAAAUUACUAGGGACCAAGCGUGGAAUUGUGCCAAGGUCAGACUAAGGAAUUUGGGGUUGUGGUUCUUCUAAGUGCAGUGGAGAAAAAAAAUCCAUCAAUGACAGACAUAAAGUACUAUACUUCUCUUAAUCCAUAUAAACAGUCAGUAGUUAUAGCUAUAGAUAUAUGUGCAUCUUUCCUUUCAUUGAAGGCUUCAGACAGGUUGGUUUAGGAGGGUGUGAUGGCUAAUUUUAGGCAUCAACUUGACUGGAUUAAAUGAUAUAUAGAUAGCUGAUAGAGCAUUAUUUCUGGGUGCAUCUGUGAGUGUAUUUCUGGAGAAGAUUGGCGGGUGAAUUGAUGGACUGAGAUGGGAAGAUCUACCCUCAAUGUGAGCAGGCACUGUCCAAUCUGCUGGGGUCCCAAAUAGAACAAAAAGGUGGAGGAAAGGUAAGUUUGUGCUUUCUCUCUCCUAGAAGUGAGGCACCCAUCUUCUGCUGACUUUGGACAUCAGAGUUCCAGAUUCUCUUUCCUAGAACUGAGACACCCAUCUGCUGCUGCUGCCUUUGGACAUCCCGUAGAACUGAGGCACCCAUCUUCUGAUGCCUUUGGACAUCAGAGUUCCAGAUUCUCUCUUCUAGACCUGAGACACCCAUCUGCUGCUGUUCGGACAUAGAACUCCAGAUUCUCAGGCCUUUGUACUCUAGGAUGUGCACCAGCAGCCCCUGCCCCGGGUUCUCAGGCCUUUGGCCUCAGACUUCAAGUUACACCACUGGCUUCUCUGGUUCUGAGGCUUUUGGACUUGAACUGAGCCAUGCUGCCAGCAUUCCUAGGUCUCCAGCUUGCAGAUGGCCUGUCGUGGGACUUCUCAGUCUCCAUAAUCAUAUUCUGAAUACAUAUGUGUGGAGUGAGACUUGAAGUACUGCAUUUCCUACAAGCUCCCAGCCAGCAAUUACUCAUCAAACAUGUCCUCGGUUCUCUGGACUGGCGAUUUCUUCUACGUGGGAGCAACCCCCUCUUCGUUUGGGCAACAGGGAUGGAGAGAACCCACCACAUUCUUGGAGAAGGCUGUGGCAUCUUACAGACGCUUCCCCAGGCUUAGCUGGCUCUAGCUCAGGGGCGGGAGGCAACCUGCUUUGGUUCCCUUGGAAUAAGGGAGAUAAGCCAAGAAGGAGGUGGCAUUUCCCUUUAUGCUGACCAUCCCUGAUUCUUAGGCCUUUUCCCUAAGACCAGCUCUAGGACAGAGGAGCCUGUGACUGAGACAGCAUUACAGAGACCCAAUCAGGGCAUAUAAAUCAGGAUCUGGAAUUAAAGAAAAGUGGGAUUUUUAUAAAAUGGAUCAUUAUUGUAUGACUUUGGUGAUAUAAAUCAGUCAGGUGUAGCUAAAGUGUGAAGUGAAUGCCCUUAAAUCAAAACAUUUUCCUUAGGAAUUCCUAGGCACGACUUGUGAAGCUGCUAUAGGAUCCGUGAGCUCCGCUUGGAGUUAUGUAAAUCCAUUUCCUCCCCUAUAAAGCAGCUGAAUGUUUUAACUAAAUCUAAUUCUUAAAAUAAUGAUUUCUGAAUCAAAACUUUGCUGGGAAGAUUUACAGGCAAGUUUUAUAAAUCAGAGGCAAGAUAUAUAACUCAGAUAGUGAGAAGUGCAGAUUUAUAAAUCCAACUUGUAAAUCAGGAGAAAAAACAUCAUGUUUUACACUAAAUAAUAUUUUUACAAAUGGCACCUCAUACAUCACGCAAUUGCCACAAAUCUUUCACAGUGGAGUCAGGCUACAUAAUGCGAGGCUGAAUCACAAAGGAAAUGGAGGCCUGGGUGGUGAAGUCGGGAUCGGGGCAUGUGGGUUUGGAAAAAUGCUCCUGUAAGCACCUAAUCAAUGUAGACCAGCCAGGGGCUUUGGCAUCAGACUCAGAUAUGUUUGUAAUUCCCCUCAGCCUCCCGAGAGCUGGAAGUGUGGGAGAAUCACAUCACUAUCCCGCCAUCCGAGUCUCAGUUUUCUUUCUCUAUGAAUCCCAUGCAAUAAUCUCUUUCUCAAUGGACUGUUGUGAGCUUUAAAUGAGAUACUAUCUGUAUAGCACUUAGCUCGGGGUCUGGA